rnacentral:rRNA from 1 species
ACGAACGCUGGCGGCGUGCUUAACACAUGCAAGUCGAACGGAAAGGCCCUGCUUUUGUGGGGUGCUCGAGUGGCGAACGGGUGAGUAACACGUGAGUAACCUGCCCUUGACUUUGGGAUAACUUCAGGAAACUGGGGCUAAUACCGGAUAGGAGCUCCUGCUGCAUGGUGGGGGUUGGAAAGUUUCGGCGGUUGGGGAUGGACUCGCGGCUUAUCAGCUUGUUGGUGGGGUAGUGGCUUACCAAGGCUUUGACGGGUAGCCGGCCUGAGAGGGUGACCGGCCAAUUGGGGACUGAGAACCGGCCCAGGCCCCUACGGGGGGCAGCAGUGGGGAAUAUUGCAAAAGGGGGGGAAGCCUGAUGCAGCAACCCCGGGGGCGGGAUGACGGCCUUGGGGUUGUAAACCGCUUUCCCCUGUGACGAAGGGGGAGUGACGGGAAUGGGAAAAGAAGCCCCGGCAAACUACGU